UUCUAGCCGUGAUGGAAGUGGUAUCCUUUUUCUGUUAUUGCGAUUCCGAAUCGUAAUUAAAGUUUCUUCUUUUCUUCGCAAGAACAGAAAAAGAUAAAACGGACAGCGCGACCUUUU
rnacentral:sRNA from 2 species